GCCGGUCACAGUGGCGCAGGACUGUAAUCCCAGCUACUUGGGAGGCUGAGGUAGGAGAAUCGCUUGAACCCGGGAGGUGGAGUUUGUAGUGAGCCCAGAUCAGGCCACUGCACUCCAGCCUGGGUAACAGAGCGAGACUCUGUCUCAA
rnacentral:SRP_RNA from 1 species